CAUAUGCCAUGGGUGCAGCCCUAAAAAAGACAAAAAAAAAAAAAUUUCAUAUCCAAUUAUGAGUCCUGCAAUCAGUCAUGUACAUUCGUAAUUUGCAAAUAUAUGAACUGAUUUAUUUUAUUUCUGCCACCUCAGUCAUGGAGAAAGUUAGGGGCAUUUCAAAGGUUAAAACAUCUGAAAAAUUAUUAGCAUUUAACAGUGCUUAUGUUUACAUUUGAUUUGUUUCUCAUGUGUUAGAGAAAAAGAAUCAUUAGCUGUCUUUGUUGUCUUUCAAGAACUUAAGCCACUAGUAGCUCAAAAGUAGUAUCAUUUUUUACUUUGAAUUACUAGAAUUUUCUUUAAAGAGGAGAUAAAAUAUUGCCAUUUCUCUUUCAAGAUGGGUCAGUCAACUGAUUAGAAAACCCAAAGCAAAGACAAACCAAUUUUUAGAUACUUCCUGGUCACUCAAAUUUAAGAAUGGCAGCAGUGUCAGUUUUAAACACUUAUAGAUAUUUCCCUAUAUAGAACAUGGAUUUUCAUUCAUUCCAAUAAUUCAAAGAAAACAAUUUUCUCAAGUUUAAGUAAGAUUUCUUUUUCUGCUUGCUUAGGCAAAAGCAUAUUAACUUUCAUGAAAACUAAAACCAUUAUAAUUGCAUUAAAAAUUACAAAAACACGAUAGUUUAGCUUUAUAUCUAAACAGCUACAAUAGCAAUUGUCACUCCUUGAAUCCUCAUGAAAACUACUGUAUGUUGAGCAUAUAUUUUUGAAUUAGCCUUGAUAAUAAAAAAUUAACUUCAUAUAUCAUUUUUCUCACACCAGGGGAAAAGUUAGCUACAUAUCUGCCCUACUCAAAUGUCUUGAAAAGAAAAUCCACAACUUCCCACGUUAGGUGUGAUUAAAGGUAGGUACAUCUGUACUGCAUUUGCAGCCUUUGACAAUGACCAUCUCAAGCUGAUACCAUCCAAUUAGAUGCAGGAACAGUAAUCAUCCGGGAAAAUACUAAAUUUACUCUCUGCCUUGCAGUUAGAAAACUGUACCCAUUCUGAAAGCAGAGGCUCCCUCUUGGCCACUAUCAGCUUUUCCUGGCUUGUCAAAUCUGCCCACUCUUCCAGGAAUGGAAGUUUCAGCAAAAGAAGCAAAAGUCAGAAUCUUUGCCACUGCUUCUCCCUGUGGUGCUCAUUUAUAGCAAAUCGGUUUCAGCUAAGACCUGAUAGCUAUUGGUACAUCACAUGAGUAUCCAUAAUUGUGGCCCUGAGAAGAGCAGGAUUGAAAAGCAAAGUAGGUUAUUAUUAUUUUUCAUUUUCUAUGUCUUGUUCUCGAAAACACACUGUGGUGAAGGGGCCUAUAGUAGAGGAGUCUCUAAAUACACGGAGCUUUGAGUCCUAACCUGUUGUGGUUUUAAACCCUUUGAGAAUCUGCUAAAAGCUGAAGAUCUUCUACUAGAAAAAUACAAUGAAACAUAUACAUUCAAAAUUAUACAAACCAUUCAGAGAGUAUGCGGACCUCCCCCAAAUCCAUAGAUUGCUUUGUCCAAGGACCCCCAGUUAAACUUAAUUUUGAGCACAUAGUUACAGUCUCAUUAAACUUUUCAGCAGAGUCAACCUAGCUCAUACAUAGCCCCAUUAACCCAUCUCUACGGAAAAUAUCACCCUUAAAUACAGAAUUGCGCUGUACUUUGCCAAGAGACAGUUUAAUUUUCAUAAAAUCCAAAUACGCCAUAAUGUUACAAAAAAAUAGCUUAAAGCAAAUCAGUCACUAAACUUGUGAGAACAUAUCAGAAUAUUACGGAUUUAAUAAAGUCAUCAUUCCUCUAA